GUUUUGGAGUAGUAUGUAUACAUUCAAAAUCACGUUUAUUCAUAGUUUUAAAUUCCAUUUAGACUUAUAAACCUAAUAGUAUGCCAUUGACCACUGGGUGAUCAUUUUUGUUUGUAGUUUAAAUUCGGCUUGAAUUCAUAGUUUAUUUUGUGUUUCGUUUUAUUUAGACAAAAGCAAAAAGAAAGUCAAGACCAGAAAAGCAGCAGAUUUCACAUAUUUUCGUAUUCCAUUGAAAUGCAGGAGAAAAAGCUUAAAGUUAAUUGAAUAUUCAGUAUUCACGUGCACUGGAUAUCCACUGAUCCCCGUCUGAUGAGUGUUAUGAGUAGUGUGCAGUGUUGAAUAGUGUUUUAAAGUGUUUCCUCUACCGUAGCCUUGUGCCCAAUUUCAUUUCCGCGUGCUUUGUACUUUCAUGUUGCAUGUAAAAUUCAAAAUACGAUCGUUAACUCCUGCCCCUAAAACACUAUCCCUUUCUAUAUUUCUCUCUCUAUCCACCGUUUAAUAGCACUGAAUGCUUCUCAGGUUUUUGAAGGCUUGCAUUUUCUUUUUUUUUAUGUAGCUCAGUGUAAAUAUUAUGUAAAUAUGCUUUUUCUGCUCUAUAUACUAAUUAUUUAUAUGUAGAUUUUCCAAUUUACACACACAAUUCCAUAUC
rnacentral:lncRNA from 1 species